rnacentral:rRNA from 1 species
GACGAACCGUGCAAACGUUGUUCGGAAUCACUGGGCUUAAAGGGCGCGUAGGCGGGCAAGCAAGUCGAAGGUGAAAUCCCACGGCUCAACCGUGGAAGUGCCCCCGAUACUGCUUGUCUUGAGGGAGAUAGGGGCGUGCGGAACUUCCGGUGGAGCGGUGAAAUGCGUAGAUAUCGGAAGGAACACCGGUGGCGAAAGCGGCUCACUGGACCACAACUGACGCUGAGGCGCGAAAGCUAGGGGAGCAAACAGG